CCCAGAUCCAGUCGCUGCUCAACCAGUCCAUGUCUGAGUCAGGGAGCAUGCAGAACAGCAUGACGGCCUCCCAGAACAUGGAGAAGAUAGAUGACCUGCUUGUCAGCCUGCAGGAGCAGGGCAACAACCUCACUCGCUCCUACUAGGCCUGCUAUAGGUUUCAGGAGCCCAGAAGCCCCCCAGUUUGGAUCCCCAUUACAGAUGGCAGAAGACCCCCAGUGUGAACCCCCAUUACAGAUGGCAGAAGACCCCCGGUGUGGACCCCCAUUACAGACGGCAGAAGAAUGAAAACAAACUCAACGGUGGGCUCCUGUCCGAACUCCAAGUUACAUGUAAGCCUCAGCGGCCUUUUUCUCCAAGGACAGUCUUCAUGUGUAGAUGCUCCACAGUGGCGCUGAGCGGGGCACCAGUCCUCCACUGCAUCUAAACCUGGACCUCAAAAUAGGACAUAGGUUGUAGUUACCCCACAACUGUCAGUGUGUUCAGUGUAUCUCGCAGCUAGUCGCCUCCAGCUCUUAAUGAAACAUGACACUAUGUAAUGUUUGGCUAACUCAUCAGUUCUCAGAGCAGCACUUUGCGGUGUGGCUUUAUAAGGAUGGUGGUAGAAGCUAGCACAGCAUUCUGUCUUCUCCAGGACCAGAGUGUGGGCUCACAAUUGUUUAUAACGCAUUGUUGUCCUUUUUAUACGAAAUUAAAAGUAUUUUAGGAAAUAGCAAAAGAAAAUAUACAGUUCGUGAAAAAUAAACCUUUGUAAGAUA